GCAGGCGAGAGCUUGCGUGGACAAGGAACGGGUGGAUAACACAGUCUUCCGAGCGCUGGAGCGAGGGUCACAUGACUUGGCGGUGAUACCCUCUCCCCUCAAGCAACAUCUGGUGCGCCAGCGUGACAGCAGGCUACGCUGCCUACCGGAAGAAUCUACAGUGACCAAGCGUCGCCGUGUUUACUGAAUCUUCGGACGGGGAAGCUGAGUGGCAUAUAUCAACAAGACUACUCCGAAAGUGCGUGAGAACCGAGUGCUUCGAUCAAGUAUCUGUCUUCGACGGCACUAUCGGAUGCGCGCAACUGCUGUUUUGACAAUGGGCACAUUUGGUUUCUGCUAUAAAAGCCCAGUUUUGAUGGAGCCAGCAUCACUUCAGGCCGAUCCAGGCAGCUGCUAGCAUCAGCCGUGUACUAAACACGCUCCCCUUCGUAUUUGCACCUGUCUACUGUGAUCGCUACGGACGGCACUUGCGUCGACCUCUGGCUCACGUGAUGCCUGAUAUGGUACCCGCUGGCGGCGAUCAGCUACAAAAGGGCCCUGUGGAUUGUGCAUUGCUGGGAUUUGCGGCGUUUGUGAAAAGCGGUAAACAUCGUUCUUCUGUCUUUUAUAGGCUGAAACCUCCAGGCAGAAGUAUUCGCCGGUCGAUCGACAGACGGUGCAACGUGCGUCAAGAUCUUCGGCAGCGAGGUACCAGCAGCCCGAAGCUCUUCAGAUCGGGGUCUCGGCAAGCACGCCACAGAUAAGGCUCCUGUUCCGGCCCACACUCAGAACGUUCCGCCUGACUCUUUCUUUUAAUACCGUUUCAUAUUUCAUUUAAUUAGUCAUCGCGUGUUAAUUUUUCUAUGUCUUGUUAGUGUAGCGCUUGCCACGUUUAUUGUCGCGUGCAUUUUUCACUUGUGCCGCGUAUUCUUUGUUAUUUGGCGAGUGUAAGAGUUCUCACGUGGUGGGUUUUGUGUGGCAUAAGGGCGGGAGUUGUGGGACCCGCAAGCCUUCCGCGAGCUAGGACUCAGUGCUUGCAGUUUGUAUGUUCUUUUUUUAAUUGUA